UACGUAGGUGGCAAGCGUUGUUCGGAAUUACUGGGCGUAAAGCGUGCGCAGGCGGUUGUGUAAGACAGAUGUGAAAUCCCCGGGCUCAACCUGGGAACUGCAUUUGUGACUGCACGGCUGGAGUGCGGCAGAGGGGGAUGGAAUUCCGCGUGUAGCAGUGAAAUGCGUAGAUAUGCGGAGGAACACCGAUGGCGAAGGCAAUCCCCUGGGCCUGCGCUGACGCUCAUGCACGAAAGCGUGGGGAGCAAACAGG
rnacentral:rRNA from 1 species